rfam:Ornithorhynchus anatinus chromosome 11, whole genome shotgun sequence.
AACAGCUUGGCUUAGUGGAAAGAGCCUGGCCUUGGGAGUCAGAGGUCGUGGGUUCUAAUUCCACUUCUGCCA